UGGAGAUGAAGGGUCUGAAGAUGAAGCC
rnacentral:piRNA from 1 species